rnacentral:ribozyme from 1 species
UGCCCAGCAACUCCUAUCCCUACCUCCUCGUGGUACUGGCCGGCGUACGAGUAACCUUGGGGAAGAUCGGGUAACCAACCCCCGGUGGGAACUUUGGUCGUAUGCUGACAGGGAAGG